rnacentral:lncRNA from 1 species
AUUUGAAUUUGCUUUUUGCACAAGUUUUGACGUACGUUAAGUUUUGACUAGCUAGGUUCGUAUUAAUUUAAUCCCAUUAUACAACUUUUUACUAUACCCAACACAAAUUAAAACACAAGUCAAACUUAAAUGAAAGCAAAAUCAAACAGAUAAAUUAUUAAUUAGCUAAGUAGCCAAGGAGCCGACCAUAGCUUAGUAAUUAUAUAAAGCAAUUGGGUUUCUAUCUUUUGAUGAGUCACCUGGACGUUUCAUAUUCAUGCAAUAAAUAGCCACAGUUUCUAUAGAUGUUAAAAAGCCUUUGCUGCAAGAAACCCCUUCGGCUUCAAGUUCCAGUCCCAUUAUUAGCCCUCUUUCCUUUCCUUUUUCCUAUAGAAGUUCUUCUCUUUAAAAUUGCUUUUUGCACAAGUGCUUUUUCAUUUGCUCUCAUCAGAGGUGAGGAACUUUAUAGAUGAUGCUUCAAUGGGUCCAAGUUUCAUUAUGAAAUUAUUUCAUUUCAGUUAUUUAUUUUCUUUACAUUAUGUCAUCGCAGGCUGCUGGUCUAAUAAAUUAAAAAUGAGAAAUUCCCUUCUUUCUUCAGUGCCUUCCCAGCUUUACUACUUUGGCAAUGGUACUUUCAAUUAGUUUUCUAUGAAGCUUGAGUAGAGCCUAAUACAAAAUAUUUAUUUUUGCUUGGAGUUAAUUUUUUACUGGGUUUUUAAUUAAUGGACAGACACAUUGUGUGUUGUGAUGAUAUUUAAUUUUGUUCUUUUUUUGAUUUUUUCUUUUUAAAUUUUCAGGAAACAAUGAAGUUCAGAUGCCAUAUUUGGCCAAUUCCAUGCAAGUUGAUAGCCUAGUGUAUGCUUUCUUUCUAUCCUUCAAACAUUAAUACACCAUUUUAAGUACUUAAAAUGAAUACAAGAUAUUUAAAGAUGCUGCAGAGUGCAGGCAAAUGGCAAAAGCAAUUUUUUUUUUUUUGGGUGAUUAUGGACUAUGGUGUUUGCUGGAAUAAUCAAAAGCAUUUUUUUUUUCAAAGAUUUGAGAAGUACUUGCUCGUUUGAUCAAAUUCAACCAACCAUUUAUCAACAUCAAUAUUUAAGAAGAAGGGGAAAAAAAAUUUUAUCGUGCCCUCUACUUUUGUCUUGGCUUUUUAUCAAACAUCACAGCAUGUCCUGUUUGCGGUGGUCUUGGCUUGCAUUGUAUAUUCUUUUCUAACUUUAUUGGUUGUCUCUUAUGGACACGUGUGUAGUAGUGAGUGUGUGUGCGUGAGUGAGUGUAUAUAUGAUCAUCAAUUUCAAUAAAACAUGCAUGAUAUAUGAUAAUUUUUCAGCUUAUUGAAUAAUUAUUUCGUAGUCUUGACUUCCUUUCCCUAUUUUUUGUUCCUUUUUCUUCUCAGGAAAACAUACACAUUAUCAUAGAUUCCUUUGCCAUUUGUAGACUAAGACAACACAACAUGAGGUUAAAGCAUUAACUUGUGAUUUUUAUUUAUGAAUACAGUGAUAUUUUUGUUAAAAAGGUAUCAAGAUUAAUGAUAUAAGGCCUUUGUUUGUAAAGUCUAGGUUUGUGAAUUCAAAGGGGGUGGAACUAUAUGAAUUAAAGAUUGCCUUAGAAAGAUAGAGAAUAUGCAGAGCUUUAAGAGGUACAUCUCUUAAUUGCCUUGAACUCUAUAUUUAUUGUGAAUAUUUUGGAUUAGUAGCUCCAUCAAUAAAAUGGCUGAAAUGUUUUAUUAUUCUAGUAGAGUAAUUUGGAAUGAGUUGACACUAAUUGCAUUAUGCAGAAAGUGUGUAAUUAUCAAGAGUUAAAUGCUUUACUCUCACACUUAGGCUUGGUGGCUAAAAGACAUAAUUGCAAGCCUUUUUUUGAAAAAACAUACUAUGUUGUAUUAGAUAUUACAUUUUAUUAUGAAUUUUUUUAGCUGGAAAAUCAUUGUUUUUUAUAUAAUGAGAAAUAAAC